rnacentral:sRNA from 1 species
AGACGAAUUUGACAACAUAAGAUUUCUC